CCCUGGUUAGCUCAAUUGGUAGAGCGCUCCACCUGUAAUGGAGGAGGUCCCGGGUUCGAUACCCGGACCAGG
rnacentral:tRNA from 1 species